GAUGAACGCUAGCUACAGGCUUAACACAUGCAAGUCGAGGGGCAGCAUGAACUUAGCUUGCUAAGUUUGAUGGCGACCGGCGCACGGGUGAGUAACACGUAUCCAACCUUCCGUUUACUCAGGGAUAGCCUUUCGAAAGAAAGAUUAAUACCUGAUAGUAUGGUGAGAUUGCAUGAUAACACCAUUAAAGAUUUAUUGGUAAACGAUGGGGAUGCGUUCCAUUAGGUAGUAGGCGGGGUAACGGCCCACCUAGCCUGCGAUGGAUAGGGGUUCUGAGAGGAAGGUCCCCCACAUUGGAACUGAGACACGGUCCAAACUCCUACGGGAGGCAGUAGUGAGGAAUAUUGGUCAAUGGACGAGAGUCUGAACCAGCCAAGUAGCGUGAAGGAUGAAGGUCCUACGGAUUGUAAACUUCUUUAUAAGGGAAUAAACCCUCCCACGUGUGGGAGCUUGUAUGUACCUUAUGAAUAAGCAU
rnacentral:rRNA from 1 species